CAUGCAAGUGGUAGGAAGGCCGAAAGUGGCCGACCUUCGGGAGCUUGCACAGGUGCUGCAUGGCUGUCGUCAGCUCGUGUCGUGAGAUGUUCGGUUAAGUCCGCUAACGAGCGCAACCCUCGCUGUGUGUUAUAUGUGUCACACGGGACUGCCGGUCUUAAGCCGGAGGAAGGUGGGGAUGAUGUCAAGUCAGCAUGGCCUUUAUAUCCUGGGCUACACACACGCUACAAUGGCCAACACAAUAGGUUGCUAAGCCGCGAGGUGGCGCCAAUCCAUAAAGUUGGUCUCAGUUCAGAUUGUAGGCUGCAACCCGCCUGCAUGAAGAUGGAGUUGCUAGUAACCGCGGGUCAGCUAUACUGCGGUGAAUACGUUCCCGGGGCUU
rnacentral:rRNA from 1 species